ensembl:lncRNA
GAAUAUUUUAUACAGCUUAUGCAAGCAUGUCACACCGUCAUAGUGCACGGAGAGGGGCGGCUGGCGGCUUCUCAUUAACGUUAUGUUUAGCGACGGCCGUAGGGGGACGACCCAAAGAGAAACCUGAGGAAAGUUCUAGAUAUGCUGCAGGAUGAACCAUAAUGAUAUGAGAUGGAGAGUGAGAGAUGUCACUCUGCCGUCUCUGAAUAAUGUGUGUGUUCAUUAUUUAACUCCCACCCCAUUAUUAUCCUUAGCAAAAUAUGGAAUGACACAUUGCAUUUUGUCCUCAGUACUCCAUAAGCUUUGUCCGUUGUUUCUGAACACUAUAAUCUGAGCUGCAUUUAAGAUCAUUUUCUGUCUCAGCAUUGCUGGCCAAUACAAUUAACCUUAUUUUAAUAAGGUGUGUGUGCGUGUGUUUGUGUUUCAGGGGGGGAGGUAGGGCUGGUAAUGUUUAAAAAUGUGCCGGUUUCAAAACGUACUUGUACAUUUUUGUACAUUUCUCUCAGACAUUUCGAGUCGACAUCGUUGCAAAUGGUCUCCAAUGUGACGUGUGGGAGUCCUGGAGCUGCCAAACCCAAUGAAUCACAUUCCAGGGAGGUUUUGCUACCGUGUGCAAGGAAGUGGACCUUGAGGCCUGUCGUUCCGGUCCUUGAUGGACGGCUUCCGUGGAGACGAGCCGCGGGGACAACAGAGAGCUGCUGGGACCCAAUGGGAGGAGCAGGAUGAGGUGGAGGCCGGAGCACUUCAGAGACCUUGGAGAGAGGUGUCCCCCGCCAGCCCAGCAAUAAGAACUAGAUUGUCUCUCUGCUCGCCCCGUCGAUAGCACCUCAGCGGGCAUCUGUCUCCAUCACAUCCGCCCUUCCUGAAGUCUGGGUAAUGACAGGAAGUGCUGACGUUGCACCGCAGUAGAGAGCGUCUGGGGCGCCGCGUUUCAGGAGACGCACCUGCUGCCUCCGCCGUCGCCGCCGUCGCCGCCGCCGCUGCCCGCCGCCCACGCAUGUUGGAGAAUAUGAUGCACACACGGUCGCCGUAGCUCAACUUCAAUUGUACUUCACACACACACACACACACACACGUCACACGCACACACAAACACACACGUCCAUACAUGCAGCCUGAGCCAGAGCUUCAAGGGGAGCAGAGUGGUCCUUCUUUGACGGGCGGAGAGCCUCUGAGAACCCUCUAUUAAAUUCUGCCGGCACUAAUGCAUCCCUCCUCUCUCCUCCACAUAAUGACACACAGGCUCUGUCUCCUCCUCCUCGCUGACAGACAGACACACACACACACACACACACACACACACACACACACACACACACACACACACACACAC